GAUGAACGCUAGCGGCAGGCUUAACACAUGCAAGUCGAGGGGUAGAGGAAGCUUGCUUCCUUGAGACCGGCGCACGGGUGCGUAACGCGUAUGCAACCUACCUUUUACAGAGGGAUAGCCCAGAGAAAUUUGGAUUAAUACCUCAUAGUAUAUAGUCUUCGCAUGUUGACCAUAUUAAAGUUCCAACGGUAAAAGAUGGGCAUGCGUCCUAUUAGCUAGAUGGUAAGGUAACGGCUUACCAUGGCAACGAUAGGUAGGGGUCCUGAGAGGGAGAUCCCCCACACUGGUACGGAGACACGGACCAGACUCCUACGGGACGCAGCAGUGAGGAAUAUUGGACAAUGGGCGCAAGCCUGAUCCAGCCAUGCCGCGUGCAGGAAGAAGCAUCUAUGGUGUGUAAACUGCUUUUGUACGGGAAGAAACACUCCCUCGUGAGGGAGCUUGACGGUACCGUAAGAAUAAGGAUCGGCUAACUCCGUGCCAGCCGCCGCAGUAAAAC
rnacentral:rRNA from 1 species